rnacentral:rRNA from 1 species
UAAGCUAGAGUAUNUCAGAGGGGGGUAGAAUUCCACGUGUAGCAGUGAAANGCGUAGAGAUGUGGAGGAAUACCGAUGGCGAAGGCAGCCCCCUGGGAUAAUACUGACGUUCAUGCUCGAAAGCGUGGGUAGCAAACAGGAUUAGAUACCCUGGCANUCCACGCCCUAAACGAUGUCAAUUAGCUGUUGGGGCACUUGAUGCCUUAGUAGCGAAGCUAACGCGUGAAAUUGACCGCCUGGGGAGUACGGUCGCAAGAUUAAAACUCAAAGGAAUUGACGGGGACCCGCACAAGCGGUGGAUGAUGUGGAUUAAUUCGAUGCAACGCGAAGAACCUUACCUGGUCUUGACAUGUACGGAAUCUUCCAGAGACGGAAGAGUGCCUUCGGGAGCCGUAACACAGGUGCUGCAUGGCUGUCGUCAGCUCGUGUCGUGAGAUGUUGGGUUAAGUCCCGCAACGAGCGCAACCCUUGUCAUUAGUUGCCACCAUUCAGUUGGGCACUCUAAUGAGACUGCCGGUGACAAACCGGAGGAAGGUGGGGAUGACGUCAAGUCCUCAUGGCCCUUAUGACCAGGGCUUCACACGUCAUACAAUGGUCGGUACAGAGGGUAGCCAAGCCGCGAGGUGGAGCCAAUCUCAGAAAACCGAUCGUAGUCCGGAUUGCACUCUGCAACUCGAGUGCAUGAAGUCGGAAUCGCUAGUAAUCGCAGGUCAGCAUACUGCGGUGAAUACGUUCCCGGGUCUUGUACACACCGCCCGUCACACCAUGGGAGUGGGGGAUACCAGAA